CACGUAGGGUGCAAGCGUUGUCCGGAAUCAUUGGGCGUAAAGAGCUCGUAGGCGGCUUAGUAAGUCGGGUGUGAAAACCCCAGGCUCAACCUGGGGACGCCACCCGAUACUGCUAUAGCUAGAGUCCAGUAGGGGAGUGUGGAAUUCCCAGUGUAGCGGUGAAAUGCGCAGAUAUUGGGAGGAACACCGGUGGCGAAGGCGGUGGUCUGGGCCGGCACUGACGCUGAGGAGCGAAAGCGUGGGGAGCAAACAGG
rnacentral:rRNA from 1 species